AGAGUUUGAUCAUGGCUCAGGACGAACGCUGGCGGCGUGCUUAACACAUGCAGGUCGAACGAUGAAGCCCUUCGGGGUGGAUUAGUGGCGAACGGGUGAGUAACACGUGGGCAACCUGCCCUUGGCUUUGGGAUAAGCCCUGGAAACGGGGUCUAAUACCGGAUAUGACUGCUUCACGCAUGUGGGGUGGUGGAAAGUUCCGGCGGCCAGGGAUGGGCCCGCGGCCUAUCAGCUUGUUGGUGGGGUAAUGGCCUACCAAGGCGACGACGGGUAGCCGGCCUGAGAGGGCGACCGGCCACACUGGGACUGAGACACGGCCCAGACUCCCGGGAGGCAGCAGUGGGGAAUAUUGCACAAUGGGCGAAAGCCUGAUGCAGCGACGCCGCGUGAGGGAUGACGGCCUUCGGGUUGUAAACCUCUUUCGACAGGGACGAAGCGCAAGUGACGGUACCUGUAGAAGAAGCACCGGCUAACUACGUGCCAGCAGCCGCGGUAAUACGUAGGGUGCGAGCGUUGUCCGGAAUUAUUGGGCGUAAAGAGCUCGUAGGCGGUUUGUCGCGUCGACUGUGAAAACUGGGGGCUUAACUCUCAGCUUGCAGUCGAUACGGGCAGACUUGAGUUCGGUAGGGGAGACUGGAAUUCCUGGUGUAGCGGUGAAAUGCGCAGAUAUCAGGAGGAACACCGGUGGCGAAGGCGGGUCUCUGGGCCGAUACUGACGCUGAGGAGCGAAAGCGUGGGGAGCGAACAGGAUUAGAUACCCUAGUAGUCC
rnacentral:rRNA from 1 species